rnacentral:rRNA from 1 species
UUGUCCUACGGGGCGCAGCAGUGAGGAAUAUUGGUCAAUGGGCGGGAGCCUGAACCAGCCAAGUCGCGUGAAGGAAGAAGGUACUUAGUAUUGUAAACUUCUUUUGUCGGGGAACAAAGGCGGAGACGCGUCUCCGGAUGAGUGUACCCGAAGAAAAAGCAUCGGCUAACUCCGUGCCAGCAGCCGCGGUAAUACGGAGGAUGCGAGCGUUAUCCGGAUUUAUUGGGUUUAAAGGGUGCGUAGGCGGAUCGUUAAGUCAGUGGUCAAAUUGAGGGGCUCAACCCCUUCCCGCCAUUGAAACUGGC